CAAGUAAAUCGCCUUAUCGCUGUUCAUGCAAAUGAACGGAGGAAAGUCCGAACACCAUAGUGCAACAUAGUGGUUAAUGGCCACCAGUCGUGAGAUUAGGAAAAGUGCAACAGAAAGUAUGUACAGGUAAUGCUGUAGUGAAACCCGGUAAACUCUAUGUGGUGCAAUGUCAUGUAAACUAGCGCUCCGAUACUUAUCGGGAGAAGGCGGCACGUUUGAUGCUAGAGGGUAGGCAGCUAAAGUGUACAGGUAACUGUACAUUCAGAUAAAUGAUAAGGGUGUUUAAUUUUUUAAACAUACAGGAUUCGGCUUAUAGAUUUACUUAAGCA
rnacentral:RNase_P_RNA from 1 species